GCGCACUUAGCUUAGUGGUUAGAGCAUCACUCUUGAAAUUUGAGGUCCCAGGUCCAAUUCCUGCAGUGCACA
rnacentral:tRNA from 1 species